AUAUUUUAUUGGUCUAAAUAGAUUUUAUUAUUGAUCAAAACUGCAUUGAUAUACAGUGUAUCACAAAAGUGAGCACACCCCUCACAUUUCUGCAGAUAUCUAAGUAUAUCUUUUCAUGGGACAACACUGACAAAAUGACACUUUGACAAAAUGAAAAGUAGUCUGUGUGCAGCUUAUAUAACAGUGUAACUGUAUUCCUCCCUCAAAAUAACUCUGAAUACAGUCAUUAAUGUCUAAACCACCAGCAACAAAAGUGAGUACACCCCUAGACUAUACCCCAAAAUGUCAUGUGACUAGUUAGUGUUACUAGGUAUAAGGUGUGCAUAGGGAGCAAGUGUGUUAGAUUUUGUAGUACAGCUUUCACACGCUCUCAUACUGGUCACUGAAAGUUCCAACAUGGCACCUCAUGGUAAAGAACUCUCUGAGGAUCUUGAAAGAUGAAUUGUUGCGCUACAUGAAGAUGGCCAAGGCUACAGGAGGAUUGCUAACACCCUGAAACUGAGCUGCAGUACAGUGGCCAAGAUCAUCCAGCUUUCUAAAAGAGGGAGGUCCAUUCAGAACAGAUCUUGCAUUGGUCGUCCAAAGAAGCUCAGUGCAAGUGCUCAGCGUUACAUCCAAAUGUAGAGAUUGAAGAGGUGGGAGAACAACCUGUCAGAGCUCAGACCAUAUGCAUCAAAUUAGUCUGCAUGGCUGUCACCCUCGAAGGAAGCCUCUUCUGAAGUCUACACACAAGAAAGCCCGCAAACAGUUUGCUCAAGAUAUGUCAACAAGGGUAUGGAUUACUGGAACUAGGUCCUAUGGUCUGAUGAGACCAAGAUUAAUUUGUUUGGUUCAGAUGGUCUCCAGCAUGUGUUGUAGCUGUCAGGUGAAGAGUACAAAGAUAAGUGUGUGAUGCCUACAGUCAAGCAUGGUAGUGGGAAUGCCAUGGUCUGGAGCUGCAGGAGUGCAGCAGAUGUUGGGGAGUUACAUUUCAUGAACUCCAAUAUGUACUGUGAACUACUGAAGCAGAGCAUAAUUCCUUCCCUCUGGAAAUUGUGUCACAGAGCACUGUUCCAGUAUGAUAAUGACCCCAAACACACCUCUAAAGCCCCUUUACCACUGGCUCUACUUCAACAACCCGAUUCGGUUCGGCUCCAUUUCGGAGUGACCACCACCGGCCCAAUUUGACUCUGUAACAGGGUUAGGAUAGCUAACCCCCUGGUGGCGGGGGCGUGUAGCGCCCCGCCUCCAGGCGCCAUGUGAUGUCCUUCGUUACAUGCGACCUAACGCGAGUUGUUGUUUUUCUGAUACAAAAGAAGAAGAGAGAACUGAGCUAUUUUUUAUGGUCUGAUUGCGAUUUUUCUGAGAUUUCAAGAAAAUGCGCCGGUGGGAGGAAUGCUGCGAUGUGGUGAGGAGGAGCUGAUCUCCGCCUUGCAGCGGGAGGAACGCAGGUGGCUCAGACUGUGCAGAUGUUGGUAAACUGCCGCUGCAGACCAUCGUGGUUCUUCCUGCUCCUCUGAGUUGUAGGACGUCUCAUCAGUGUCCGUCUUCCUGAAUGCUGGUCUGUGUUUACCUUCAGGAUGUUCAGAGACCUUCACCUUUCUGGAGCAGGAAUCACAUGAGCUCAAUAUGCUGAUGAAACAUUUCUGAUUUAAAAAAAAAAGUGUCUCAUUUUCUUAAAUAGUAGAAGUGCAUUAACAAUCUGUAGUUUUUAACUUCUCAAUAGUUUAAUUAUGAUUCACCUGAUGUCCAAGUUAUACUGAGAACAAAUAAAGCCGUAUUCCUUCUAA